UUUUUUUUCAGGCUCACUUCUAGUCCUGGGAACGCUGUGCUAGAUCUGUCCCUUUUAUGGGCCUUGGUCUAAGGAUAAAGCUCAGAUCUACAAUAACCCUGAUCCAAUCAUCUUUAGUGAAGUAUAAAUGGGUCAAGUGCCCCUCAAAACAUCAUAAAUCAUCUCAUUAUGUAUCUUAACUGAUCAUUCUUUUGGCCCAUGACUGAGACCAUCAGAUAGUUAUUGCUGAAUCUUCCUCCUCCGAUGGAUAUGGUAGCAUUGAUUACAAGCUUUGGAAGGGUCACACUAACAUGGUUCCUUCCAAGGUUGGAAAAACCUCACCCAAUCCCUCAGAAUCAUACCCUUUGUGCCUGAGGAGACCACUCAUGUCAUCUCAUCUUUGCCUGUCAAGGUUGUUGAUGCAUUGGGACAAAUUGAGCAUUCUACACAAAGCAGAGACAAAGUAAGGCCUCCAUUUCCUCAUUUGUCAAUGAGCUCUCAAAUCACUUCCUGGUCUGAAUCCUCUGAUCCUAUCUAUGUUGCUAGGUAAGGAAAGUUGAACCAAAACAAUAGGAAAUUCACUGACCGAAACAAUGUAAUUAGAAGACUAAUAAUAACAACAAUGAAACCUAGUCAAAGAAGCCGGAAGUUUAAAAGGGGCAACAGAAGAAGAGGG
rnacentral:lncRNA from 1 species